ACCCCUCCUCCUCCUCGCCAUCCCCGUCCCCGGCUUCUCCUCCUCCUCCUUCCCACCGCCUCCUCCUCCUUCCCACCGCUGCCCCAUCCCCGUGCCGCCGCCUCACUGCGCGAGACAGUGGCGGGCAGUGACGGCAUGCAGGCGCCCGGCGUGUGCGGGCCUGGAGCGCGGCCAAAGAAUGGAUGCGCGGGCACGAGUAGAGAGCGGAGACACACAGGUGGUUCUUUUCCCAUGAGUCUCAACAUCGCAGGUGAGCUUCCCUACCCCUUCCAUUACGAUCCUCCAACCUGCUCAUCUCCUCACACGUCCACAAGGAGAGCAUAUGUGCCCCCAUCUCAACUCGAAUUUCUUCUCAAUAAAUGGAGCCCCUUUUCAACUCAAAUACACCGGAUCGAAGUCAGCUCAGCACAAAUCAGCACCUUCGAAUUGAGCUUCCUGUUUCAUCUUUUCUACUCCUGUGGGUCAAGUGCGUAUUCCAACUCUGUUUUUCUCCAAAUUAUUUUUUGCUCAGGUCCAAUCAAAUGCAAGAUGAGCCUGCUCCUUCCCAGCACUACUAUUUUGUCUUUCACCAGUUGGUUUGAUCUGAAAAAAAUGAUAUGUACACUAUCAUAUGCUUACAAAAUUAGCACUUAUGUAUAUACAAAGUACCACCACAAAUCCAAGACCUUAUGGCUGUUAUCUCAUAACUAAUUACUUACCAAGCUGAUGCUCUUGGAUCAAGAAGAAAUUCAUGUUUCCUGUUACCUGAAAACUCUUUCUCUAAUUUUUAAUUUUCCCUUCCAGGUUGAAGGUGCGCCGAUGGUAAUGUAAGUCUGUGCUAAUUUCCUGCUGAUAGUGCUAGGUAGGUCUAUUCUUUCAGUGGGUAACUUCAAGCUAAUCAAUAAUUAUUAGCUACCACAUAAUUUGCCUUGCAAACUUAAACUUACAAAUACAAUCUGGUUCUUCGCAUGCUAUAUAUGUCCUUUUAUACUGUUAACAUCUCACAGGCGACAAUUAGUUAAGCUUGUCACACCCAACUUGGAUUUCACCAUACCUUCUCUUAUUUUUAGAUUGUGCAAAUGUGUUAGAAUUUAGUUACAGUUUUAAGGUGGACGAAUGCAUCACCACAUGUUAUUUAAACAAGCAGAAGGUAGGACAUCAUCUACUUUCAAAUGCAUCCAUUGUGAUAUCCACAUAUCCAAUUUACUCAUUGAUCAAUACAAGGCCUUACAUUCAUAUGUAGUUCUGUUUGAAUCCAUACAUCGUUGAUUUCAUCAACUUAUUCACAAUUUUCCUUUUCAACUUUCAGGUUGAAGUCAAGAAUUGAUUCUCAAGAUAGUAAUAAUUCUGUUCCUCUCUUUACAUUCUGAGUAUUUCAAACUGUUGGCUUGCGUACUUUGUCCUGUAUUUAUAUCUCUUUGUAAUUUUUACAAGGGGUGAUCUCUUAAGAUACCAUUCCUUUCUGCAGGAAACCCAUUUCUCUUUGCUACAGCAGGAGACUGAGAAACUUCGUGGACAUAUUGAUAAGAUGAGGAGUAAUUUAACUCAAGAUCUCGCAAAAUAAAUUUCCAUGUAGCAGCAGUGGUUAAAAUAAAAAAUUCAAGUUCACGUGUAUCACAUGGUUACACUCCUUGACAGAACUAAGUUUGAUUCAAGCUGUGAUCAUGGAGAUCCCUUCAUGUUUAAGCUGGGACAAGGUCAAACAAUAAAGGGUUACGACCAAGGCAUGAAGACUAUGAAGAAAGGAGAAAAUGCUAUUUCUACCAUUCCUCCAGAAAUGUCUUAUGAAGAAUCUGGUUCGCCUCCAAAGAUUCCACCCAAUGCAACCUUGCAGUUUGAUUUGAGCUACAUUUAUGGACCACUGUCAAAUAUAAUUGCAAAGAUGGUGGCAUAUUUAAGAACAUACUUAAGGAUGGACAGAACUGGGAGAACCCAAAGGAUCUGAUGAAGUACUUGGAAUUUGACUACACCGAGUUAGAUAAAGUUACAAAGUAUUACCCACAUUUUUUAUGGAGUUAAUAGGAAAUGUUGAUGCAAACAAUCCGGUGCAGGUAACAACCAUCGAUUGGUAUGUGAGAUACCAUGUCAAGGAGUUUGAGAGAUGUUUCUAUUUGAGAUUUCCAGCUAGCUCAGUUGCUGGAAAAAAAAAGGACAGACUCAUCUAUGACUAUUUCGGAUGUGCAAGGAGUAGUUCUUGGGAAUAAGUGCCAACAUAAGUUGCUUGGAAUUAUUGAUGAGUGUGAAUUGCCAGAAUUUCUUGGUGGUAAAUGCCAGUGUGAUGAACAUGGAGGUUGGCCAAUAUCUGACAAAGGUUCUUCUAAAAAAUGAAACAUGAUUAACCAUCAUAGAAUAAAAAGGAGAUGUUACCAUACAAGAUAUCCAGCUAGACAAAAAUGUCUUAGUACUAAAGUGAUGCAUCUUCAAUAUCUCCAGAUAAUUCUCAAUGGCGAGGCAAACUAUGGAAGGCGAAAUGUGACUGUAUGAAAAGAUAAUUAGUUACGCUAGGUCAGGGUAGCCAGCCGUCUGUAACUAUAUCUCAACUGCUAAUAAAAUAUUUACAUGCUCUUGCUUCAUAA